UUUCCGUAGGUGAACCUGCGGAAGGAUCAUUACAGAGUUCAUGCCCGAAAGGGUAGACCUCCCACCCUUGUGUAUUAUUACUUUGUUGCUUUGGCGAGCUGCCUUCGGGCCUUGUAUGCUCGCCAGAGAAUACCAAAACUCUUUUUAUUAAUGUCGUCUGAGUACUAUAUAAUAGUUAAAGCUUUCAACAACGGAUCUCUUGGUUCUG
rnacentral:misc_RNA from 1 species